rnacentral:rRNA from 1 species
UACGUAGGGUGCAAGCGUUAUCCGGAAUUAUUGGGCGUAAAGAGCUCGUAGGCGGUUUGUCGCGUCUGCUGUGAAAACUGGAGGCUCAACCUCCAGCCUGCAGUGGGUACGGGGCAAACUAGAGUGCGGUAGGGGAGAUUGGAAUUCCUGGUGUAGCGGUGGAAUGCGCAGAUAUCAGGAGGAACACCGAUGGCGAAGGCAGAUCUCUGGGCCGUAACUGACGCUGAGGAGCGAAAGCAUGGGGAGCGAACAGG